GCCUGCUCCAGUGCCUGCGAAGAAAUUUUCCCUAAUAUUCACGAGAGCUGCGGCCUGACGGUGUGCGGAGGGAAGAUUUACAUCCUGGGUGGCCGAGAUGAGAAUGGGGAAGGCACAGACAAAGCAUUCACUUUUGACCCUAUAACGGGGAGUGUGGAGCAGCAGCCCCCGCUGCAGCGCUGUACCAGCUACCAUGGCUGUGUCACCAUCCUGCAGCACAUGAACAGAUGACCGUGGGGCUCUGACAGCAUCUUUCUCCCAUUCAGAUCCUCCCCUUGAGUCAGUGGUAUGUGUGCGGACAGACAGCAGUCUCUCUGCGGGGAAGGGCAACAUAAGCCACUGAAGACGUGCUCCCAGCAGGCCCCGAG